UGCAAUUAUCAAGCUGGCAAAAGUCUUUACAUAUAUGCACUCUAAUUUGUACUUCCAUGAAACCUAAGCAUUUAACAUUUCAAAACCAAAUCCAAAACUGACAGCGAGAUUGUUUACUGCCAGCUCGAAAUGUAAAUUAUUUUGUUUUGUAAGAGUUUUUAAAUUGCCAAAGUUGCAUUACAAAAAUUACUAAAAAAGGCAAAUGUAUCUUAAAGAUGUGCAUAUUUUUUGCGAGAGCCCGAGAUUGAGGAAGCUGUACGCCAAAUGAAAAGAUAAAUAAGAAGUCCAACGCCUGUUGCCGAGUUCUUCGUCUUCGUCUUCGCCUUGUCUUUGCAUCUUGGCUGGCGGUUGAAGUAUUUUAUUGUAUACACGUGACGGACCAAAUAUUGCAAUUGUCACAGUCUUUGGAUUUUUGUUCAUUGACGCUCCCCGAAGGCAGCCGCGACUUGGAUGGCAGGAGACAUUUAAACGGAAACUUUCGAUUUGCAGCUUCAUUAAAAAUGUUUAGUGCUUUAUUCCCGA